AUUUAAAUGUUCUCAUAAUUUCGCUACUGCCCCAAUUUUUUAUUUUCCUUUUCUUUUGUUUUUGGUUUCAAUCGAUCUAGGUUAAGCAAGUUUUGCAAGGAUUUCUCACUUGAUUUAGAUUUUUAUUCACAAGGUUCUGAAGAUUUUCUUUUGGAUCAGCAGUUCUUCCGAUGAAGUGAGAGCUUCGUUACUUUUUUUCCUUCUUUGUGAAGUUGUUGCUCUUCUGGUCCUCGGUGUUCUCCGAUUUCGGCUUCUUUCUUUGGUGGAGUGAGAGCUUGGAACCCUAGGAUCGUUAGAUCGGACGGCGGAUCGGCCCAGAAAAUAGAGUUGAGAACCGUUUCUUGGAUAGGAGAGGUGGAAGCUCCUGGAAUUAGCUGGAUCUCUCUCAUUGCCGAAAGCAAUUCCAUUUACUUGGAUCUUAAAUAAGAUUAUCAUCUACCUCAUGUUUGUGAAUCUGCACUGUAAUACUAAUUUGGUAAAAGGUGUGCUUUUUGCCUGGCGCUGUUUGGAAUUUUCUGAGAUUUGGUAGCAUGAGCACAAGACGGGGUUUUAAUUUCCAUUUGAUAUUAUUUAAGUGUCAUACGGUAUUUUCUUGAGCAUACUGCUACCCCAAGGAUAGCACUAAAUCCUUUAGCUGACCUAUCAACUAUGUGAGAACAUUAUCUGUUGUUUGAUUUGAAGUACUGCUUUGUUUAUUCCUUGAGAGCAGAGAUCAAUGAAAUUCCAUACCGCCUUGUGGUUGCUGGUCGAUUUUUCUUCAACAUGCGUGGUCUUUGAAACUUGUAUUUGUGGAGGUUGGUUUUGUUGGUUGUUGUUAAAUUUGGCUUCCCCUGAGAAAGUUCUUAAGUUUGGCCUCUGGUUUAUUCUUUGUGUCUUGCAGAUAAUAUUAUAGUAGUAAUUCCCUCUGUGAAAUCUUUCCUUUUUCUCUGUCUUUUGGACCUCUUCCAUGCAUAGAUGUUGUUGAAGGAUUGCUCCUUAUUGCAUUAACAGAGACCAUCUCAAUUUUAUGGAUAAGUGUCGCCUUAGUUAUUGUUGUGUCUUGUUGUUUUUAUUUUUAUCUUUGUUGUUUUCUUGAUUCAUUGUGGUUAUACUGUUGUAAUUUAGGCUUGUUAUGCUGUUUGUUUGUUAUGCCAUUUGUGUCCCUCGGUCAAAUCAGUUUAACUUGUUAUGUUUGGUCACUUUGUUUCUAAGAU